CCUUCUCUUUCUGCUGCCACCUUGCCAUUUUCUCACAUGGGACUGUUUGGCCUGGUGUCGUCUUUCUGGAGCCGCGUGAUGAACACAGCAGGCUGAGCUACCCAGCUGGUGGAUCUACACUUCACGACGCAGGAAAGAGCAGUUUAUAGAACUGGAUCUUUGUGUUAGAGGACCUGAGGGGCAGCUACUAAGUAAUGCGAUGGGGGUCAAGAUUGAGGUGUGACCAGCAACCUCACACUCUUCUCGCCCCUGCAGCCUCCCGCUCCUCCUGCCCCUGCAGGGACAGCCACACUCCUGCCUCCACGUUUUCCCAUUUUCCCGUCAUGAAUAACUGUAUCCUGCCACUGGGAGCCAGAAUAAAUCCAUCUUCCUUAG